rnacentral:misc_RNA from 1 species
GAUGAAGAACGCAGCGAAAUGCGAUGAGUAGUGUGAAUUGCAGAAUUCAGUGAAUCAUCGAAUCUUUGAACGCACAUUGCGCCCCUUGGUAUUCCAUGGGGCAUGCCUGUUCGAGCGUCAUUUGUACCUUCAAGCUCUGCUUGGUGUUGGGUGUUUGUCUCGCCUCUGCGUGUAGACUCGCCUCAAAACAAUUGGCAGCCGGCGUAUUGAUUUCGGAGCGCAGUACAUCUCGCGCUUUGCACUCAUAACGACGACGUCCAAAAGUACAUUUUUACACUCUUGACCUCGGAUCAGGUAGGGAUACCCGCUGAACUUAAGCAUAUCAAUAAGCGGAGGA